ensembl:rRNA 5S_rRNA 5S ribosomal RNA
GUCUACGGCCAUACUACCCUGAACCACCUGAUCUCAUCUGAUCUUGGAAGCUAAGCAUAGUCAGGCCUGAUUAGUACUUAGAUAGGAGACCACCUGGGGAUACCAGGUGCUGUAGGCA